rnacentral:pre_miRNA from 1 species
GAUAUACUCCCUCCGUCCGAAAAUACUUGUCAUCAAAACGAAUAAAAGGGGAUGUAUCUAGAUGUAUUUUAGUUCUAGAUACAUCUCUUUUUGUCCAUUUUGAUGACAAGUGUUUUCGGACGGAGGGAGUAGUAU